rnacentral:tRNA from 1 species
AUUUAAAUAGUUUAAUUUAAAAUAUAAUAUUGAAGAUAUUAAGUUAACAUAAGUUUUUAAAUA